rnacentral:rRNA from 1 species
UACAGAGGGUGCGAGCGUUGUUCGGAUUUACUGGGCGUAAAGGGCGCGUAGGCGGCAAUCUUUGUCAGGCGUGAAAGCCCCGGGCUCAACCUGGGAACUGCGUCUGGGACGGGGUGGCUAGAGAUCGGGAGAGGAGCGUGGAAUUCCCAGUGUAGAGGUGAAAUUCGUAGAUAUUGGGAAGAACACCGGUGGCGAAGGCGGCGCUCUGGACCGAUACUGACGCUGAGGCGCGAAAGCGUGGGGAGCAAACAGG